rnacentral:lncRNA from 1 species
CUCUCGUUGGCGGUAGGAGUGGACCAAAGCGCAGCGUGGUAAGUGUUCAAAAUGUAUUAUAUAUAACGAAACACUUAAACAAAGAAACAAAACGAAAGCCAACAGUUCUGUCAGGUCACUGAUAACAAAACAGAAAACAAUUACCCACAAACACAGGUGGAAAACAGGCUGCCUAAGUAUGAUUCACAAUCAGAGACAACGAUAGACAGCUGCCUCUGAUUAGGAACCAUACUCUGCCAAAACAAAGAAAUACAAUACAUAGAAUGCCCACCCCAUAUCACACUCUGACCUAACUAAACAGAGAAAAACGUCUCUCUCAGGUCAGGGCGUGACAGUGUGUGUGUGUGUGUGUGGUCUUGAUCCUCUAUCCUUGUGGAGACCUAAAAUCCCCAAUGUCUCCACAAGGAUAGUAAAACAAGGAAAAUUCUCCCUCGUUGGGACAUUUCCCACGUCCCCAUGAGGACAAAGGCUAUUUUAAGCUUAGGGGUUAGGUUUAGGGUUAGGAUUUGUGUUACAAUUAGGUUUAGGAUUUGUGUUAGAAUUAGGGUUAGGUUUAGGAUUUGUGUUAGAAUUAGGGUUAGGGUUAUGAUUUGUGUUAGAAUUAGGGUUAGGUUAAGGGCUAGGUUUAAGGUUUCCUGGAGAGCUUGUGCCCCUCUACCUAUAUUAGUGCUGAAUUAUAUUGUUUUAUACACAUGUAUAUUUUAUUCUGUUUUUAUUGUAAUGUGAUUUUAUAAUCUCAAUGUGACUCCCUGAUUAAAUAAAAGGUUAAAUACAAAAUAAAAGGAAAAUAGGAUUCUGAAUGAAAAUCAAUUUUAGGUCCCCAUGAGGAUAGAAGAACGAGUGUUGGUGUGUGAAAUAUUAAACCAAGGCAGCAGCAGCAUUGUUUUUACCCAGCUACAGAAGAGGUCAAUACGAGCAGUGAGAGGUCCAAUUUUACCCAGCUACAGAAGAGGUCAAUACGAGCAGUGAGAGGUCCAAUUUUUACCCAGCUACAGAAGAGGUCAAAAUGAGAAGUGACAGGUCCAGUUUUUACCCAGCUACAGACGAGGUCAAAAUGAGAAGUGAGAGGUCCAGUUUUUACCCAGCUACAGAAGAGGUCAAAAUGAGAAGUGACAGAUCCAGUUUUUACCCAGCUACAGAAGAGGUCAAAAUGAACAGUGAGAGGUCCAGUUUUUACCCAGCUACAGAAGAGGUCAAAAUGAGCAGUGAGAGUUCCAGUUUUUACCCAGCUCCAGAAGAGGUCAAAAUGAGAAGUGAAACUCAGAGGUAUUGUUAUGUGAUAUUACCUCGAUUGACUUACUCAGCAUAAGCCUCAUGUCUUCUGUUAAAAACAAAGGACAUGUCAGUAUAGACGGUUACUGGAAAUUCACAAAUGAAGCCAGCAGUCGUGGCCUUAAAUCCAGCUCCAUGGACCCUGACUGUUCUGUACUACAUCUACUGAAUAAUGUCUGCCAUUUAGAAGAUGCUUUUAUUCAAAGCCACUUACAGUCUUAUGUGUUAUACAUGUUACGUACGGCUGGUCCCGGGAAUCAAACCCACUAUCCUGCACUCACCAAUCAUACCCACUCUACUAUAUCAGGUCUAGGACAUCACCCCAGUCACCCAUCAUAUCCACUCUACUAUAUCUGGUCUAGGACAUCACCCAUCAUACUUACUAUAUCUGGUCUGGGACAUCACCCCAGUCACCCAUCAUACCCACUCUACUAUACCAGGUCUAGGACAUCACCCAACAUUACCACUCUACUAUAUCAGGUCUGGGACAUCACCCAUCAUACCCAGUCUAUUAUAUCUGGUCUAGGACAUCACCCAUCAUACCCACUCUACUAUAUCAGCUCUGGGACAUCACCCAUCAUACCCACUGUACUAUAUCUGGUCUAGGGCAUCACCCAUCAUACCCACUCUACUAUAUCUGGUCUAGGGCAUCUCCCAUCAUACCCAUUCUACUAUUUCAGGUCAAGGGCAUCACCCAUCAUACCCACUCUACUAUAUCUGGUCUAGGACAUCACCCAUCAUACCCACUCUACUAUAUCUGGUCUGGGACAUCACCCCAGUCACCCAUCAUACCCACUCUACUAUAUCAGGUCUAGGACAUCACCCCAGUCACCCAUCAUACCCACUCUACUAUAUCUGGUCUAGGACAUCACCCAUCAUACCCACUCUACUAUUUCAGGUCUAGGACAUCACCCAUCAUACCCAGUCUACUAUAUCUGGUCUAGGACAUCACCCAUCAUACCCACUCUACUAUAUCAGGUCUAGGACAUCACCCAUCAUACCCACUCUACUAUAUCAGGUCUAGGACAUCACCCCAGUCACCCAUCAUACCCAAUCUACUAUAUCAGGUCUAGGACAUCACCCCAGUCACCCAUCAUACCCACCCUACUAUAUCAGGUCUAGGACAUCACCCAUCAUACCCACUCUACUAUAUCUGGUCUAGGGCAUCACCCCAGUCACCCAUCAUACCCACUCUACUAUAUCUGGUCUAGGACAUCACCCAUUAUACCCACUCUACUAUAUCAGGUCUAGGACAUCACCCCAGUCACCCAUCAUACCCACUCUACUAUAUCUGGUCUAGGACAUCACCCAUUAUACCCACUCUACUAUACCUGGUCUAGGACAUCACCCAAGUCACCCAUCAUACCGACCCUACUAUAUCAGGUCUAGGACAUCACCCAUCAUACCCACUCUACUAUAUCAGGUCUAGGACAUCACCCAUCAUACCCACUCUACUACAUCUGGUCUAGGACAUCACCCAUCAUACCCACUCUACUAUAUCAGGUCUAGGACAUCACCCAUUAUACCCACUCUACUAUACCUGGUCUAGGACAUCACCCAUCAUACCCACUCUACUAUAUCAGGUCUAGGACAUCACCCAUCAUACCCACUCUACUAUAUCUGGUCUAGGACAUCACCCAUCAUACCCACUCUAGUAUACCUGGUCUAGGACAUCACCCAUCAUACCCACUCUACUAUAUCAGGUCUAGAACAUCACCCCAGUCACCCAUCAUACCCACCCUACUAUAUCAGGUCUAGGACAUCACAUAUCAUACCCACUCUACUAUAUCUGGUCUAGGACAUCACCCCAGUCACCCAUCAUACCCACUCUACUAUAUCUGGUCUAGGACAUCACCCAUCAUACCCACUCUACUAUAUCUGGUCUGGGACAUCACCCAUCAUACCCACUCUACUAUAUCUGGUCUAGGACAUCACCCCAGUCACCCAUCAUACCCACUCUACUAUAUCUGGUCUAGGACAUCACCCAUUAUACCCA